CCACUUUCUCAUUUUUGCUCGAGUUCAUCGUCUGACCAGGUCUGACCAGGGCUGACUGCCACACAAGGCUGGAAACUAAACCACGUAAGCAAAUUCUACUGUAGUGCAAAGCUGCAUAUUUUGUAGACAGAGAAGCUGGCAUGGAGCAAAGAAAACCUGAAUGCUGAUGUAAGAGUCCUUAAGUGGAUCUUAUUAACACCAAAGAAUUCCAGAGGAAGAAUAGUGAACUUGAAUGCCCUUAUUGAAAUUGUCAAUGGUACAUUAUCUCCGAUUUUUAGCAUAAACGAUGUGGCAGUCGUUGUUAGCCGUAUGGAGUAACUAUUUGGAUGUCAAAGCGGCUGAUGUUAGCGCCCAUUUUUGGGCAAUUUUGGAAGAAAAGCAGUUCCAACUAAGCCAUUAGAUGGUAUCAUGUAUGUAUGUAGUUCACAACAAAGGUUCAGUUAUUAAUUAAUUAAUGGAAGAAUCCAAACAUUUCUAUAAAAUUGUACAUUGCUUUUUAAUGCAGGAAUAGACAUAAACACAGAAUAAGUGUUAGCUAUACAACUGCUGUUGGCGAAAACGGAUCUGGUUUGAUGAGAUGUCAUUCUCGAGGAUCAGCUACAUGUCUUCUCGUCAAAUUUUUCUACUGGAACCAUUUGCCAAAGCGUGGAUUAGCUUGACAAUGGACUUCGUAAAUCACAACGACAAAGAUUCAUGAAUCAAAAAUUAAAAGAGAACCGUCUGCCUACAUGCGUAGAGGACAUUAGAUGUGGAUUCAACCGUUGGCCAAUCGACUUUUGAUUGAUCAGGUGACUGGCCUUGGCUACGUGGAUCUUGGGUCACAUAGGUGGAAUUCAGAGAGAAACAGCUGUGAUCUUUGGGAUAUGAAAUGUUUUAAGAGCACAACAAAACUCGCAUUAAUGAAACCUGAUUAACGUAAGCUGCCAAAAUUCAGCAAAGAGACGUUCGUCAGUGAUGUUGAUGAAAUAACCGGCAUCCUGAUGUCUUCGCUGCUGCUAUUUCCGCUAUUAUUGUUGUUAUCCUGUGUAUAAUAAGGUUUUUUCCAGCACAUUGGUGCGGUGACAAAAUGUGUUUGAUCAUGUUGCAUUCGUUACGUAACUUCUGAACAAACAGCAGCAGCUUCCGUUAUGCCUCCGGUAACCAAAUGGGUUAUUACGCCACAUAAAUUCCAACGUCUGCGAGAUUUGCAU
rnacentral:lncRNA from 1 species